rnacentral:rRNA from 1 species
UACGUAGGGCGCAAGCGUUAUCCGGAAUUAUUGGGCGUAAAGAGCUCGUAGGCGGUUUGUCGCGUCUGCUGUGAAAACCUAAGGCUCAACCUUGGGCUUGCAGUGGGUACGGGCAGACUAGAGUGCGGUAGGGGUGACUGGAAUUCCUGGUGUAGCGGUGGAAUGCGCAGAUAUCAGGAGGAACACCGAUGGCGAAGGCAGGUCACUGGGCCGCAACUGACG